UGACAUGAUGGGCCUAUGUGAGGUAGCCAGUCCUCUGUUAUGUGACCACUCCUCUGUGAGGUGACCAGUCCUCUGUGAGGUAUCCAGGCCUCUCUAAGUUCACCAGGUUUCUGUGAAUUGACCAGUCCUCUGUGAGGUGGAGGCAUAUCUUCUUUCCCAGCUGCCAUUCUGUUCCAUGGACGAUGCUGGCAAGUCCCAAACCCUCUCCAGCUAUUACGAUGAACACCUUGCAGAAGAAAGAAGUCUGCCGCAGAGAAAGACGACUGGAUGGGGCAGCUGGGAAGGGUUCUUACUACCAAGCCUGAAGGCCCAAGUUUGAUCCCUAAAGCUCACAUAGCAAAAGGAGUGGAACGGCUCCUGAAAGCUACCCUCUGACCUCCACCUUAUGUCUCCUUCACAAAGAAACAAAUCAAGAUAAAUAAAUAAAUGUAUGCAGUUUUAAAAAAG
rnacentral:lncRNA from 1 species